rnacentral:rRNA from 1 species
CCUACGGGAGGCAGCAGGGAGGAAUAUUGGUCAAUGGGCGCGAGCCUGAACGAGCCAAGUAGCGUGAAGGAUGACUGCCCUACGGGUUGUAAACUUCGUUUAUAAAGGAAUAAAGUGAGGCACGUGUGCCCUUUUGUAUGUACCUUAUGAAUAAGGAUCGGCUAACUCCGUGCCAGCAGCCGCGGUAAUACGGAGGAUCCGAGCGUUAUCCGGAUUUAUUGGGUUUAAAGGGAGCGUAGAUGGGUUGUUAAGUCAGUUGUGAAAGUGUGCGGCUCAACCGUAAAAUUGCAGUUGAUACUGGGAGUCUGGAGUACAGUUGAGGUGGGCGGAAUUCGUGGUGUAGCGGUGAAAUGCUUAGAUAUCAGGAAGAACACCGAUUGCGAAGGCAGCUUACUAGACUGCAACUGACGUUGAUGCUCGAAAGUGUGGGUAUCAAACAGGAUUAGAUACCCCUGUAGUC